UUUCUCUCCCGAGCCCAGAUUUCGCCCUUUCUAGUUUUUCGGCCAUAUCUUCCUCAUCCGGCCACCGAUUGACGCGAAACAAAGUGGGUUUUUCUCAUCUCAACCCCCUUUACGAGUUUGUAGAAGAAAUCGAAGUGAAAUACGAGCUGUAGGAGGCGCUACAAGGCCGAGAAGAGAACCUCGUCGGGGACGAAAUCGCCUCCAUCGGUUCUUCUUUUUCCGGCCACCUUUGCCGGUGUUUCUUGAGGGCUUUUGAAGCCCAUAAGACGUUGAUGCUUCUCCCAAAGCGGCUUGGGACGAUUUCACUUGUGGAGGACGAAUCGAAGCUUUGAAAUUCUAGGGUUCAUCGAAUUUCAGAUAUUGCGAGGUACUUGACGAAGUAUUCAGACGAGUGGUUGGUGAUAGUUUUGGUUCGGUUCUGUAUUGAAGACGCAGCAGGAAUUCGAGGUUGCAGAUGGGGCUAAUCCUGCAGGUCAGGAAAAUCGUGGCUGAAGCUGAAGGAGCUUGUUGGCAGCAGAACGGGUAGGAAGCAAUUUUUGUUGGCUUUGCCAAUAUAUGACUUCCGCUAUGCAGUAAGCUCUGAGGAGCAUUUACGUUUUAUUGUGAUGACAAUUAAAUUCGUAAAUUUGUAUAAUAUAUAACUCUGUGGAGCGAGUGUAUGUUAUCUUGGAU
rnacentral:lncRNA from 1 species